rnacentral:rRNA from 1 species
CCCCUGUUUAUCAAAAACAUCUCCUUUUGUGUAUAAAAGGUACCGCCUGCUCAAUGCUUUUAGUAAAUAGCCGCAGUAUUUUGACUGUGCUAAGGUAGCAUAAUCAUUAGUCUCUUAAUUGGAGGCUGGUAUGAAUGGCGACACGAGAAAAUAGCUGUCUCGAAUAAAUAAAUCGAAUUUCAUUUCUGAGUGAAAAAGCUUAGAUGGAUUUGGAGGACGAUCAGACCCUUUGGAGCUUUAUUUCUUAGAUUGUUUAUAUUUAUGUAAGAUAAAAGAAUAAUCUAAUAAAUUUUGUUGGGGCGACAAAGAGUAAAAAAUAACACUCUUUUUAUUGAACAAAAAUAAUUGAAAAAUUGAUCCUUAUAGCUAGAUUAAAAGACUAAGUUACCCUAGGGAUAACAGCGUAAUCUUUUUAGAGAGUUCAUAUCGAUAAAAAGGUUUGCGACCUCGAUGUUGGAUUAAGAAAUUAGCAAGGUGCAGAAGUUUUGCUGGAAAGUCUGUUCGACUUUUAAAUUCUUACAUGAUCUGAGUUCAAACCG